rnacentral:rRNA from 1 species
UCGACGGCAGCACGGGAGCAAUCCUGGUGGCGAGUGGCGAACGGGUGAGUAAUGUAUCGGAACGUACCUUUCAGUGGGGGAUAACGUAGCGAAAGUUACGCUAAUACCGCAUAUUCUGUGAGCAGGAAAGCAGGGGAUCGCAAGACCUUGCGCUGAUUGAGCGGCCGAUAUCAGAUUAGCUAGUUGGUGAGGUAAAGGCUCACCAAGGCGACGAUCUGUAGCGGGUCUGAGAGGAUGAUCCGCCACACUGGAACUGAGACACGGUCCAGACUCCUACGGGAGGCAGCAGUGGGGAAUUUUGGACAAUGGGGGCAACCCUGAUCCAGCCAUGCCGCGUGAGUGAAGAAGGCCUUCGGGUUGUAAAGCUCUUUCAGCCGGGAAGAAGACGCAUGGGUUAAUACCCUGUGUGGAUGACGGUACCGGAAUAAGAAGCACCGGCUAACUACGUGCCAGCAGCCGCGGUAAUACGUAGGGUGCGAGCGUUAAUCGGAAUUACUGGGCGUAAAGCGUGCGCAGGCGGUUUGUUAAGAUAGGCGUGAAAUCCCCGGGCUCAACCUGGGAACUGCGUUUAUGACUGGCAGGCUAGAGUAUGGCAGAGGGGGGUGGAAUUCCACGUGUAGCAGUGAAAUGCGUAGAGAUGUGGAGGAACACCGAUGGCGAAGGCAGCCCCCUGGGCCAAUACUGACGCUCAUGCACGAAAGCGUGGGUAGCAAACAGGAUUAGAUACCCUGGUAGUCCACGCCCUAAACGAUGUCAACUAG